rnacentral:lncRNA from 1 species
GGGCUAAGUCUAAAUCUGAGCUCAAUCAGAUUGGGCUAAGUCUGGACGAGCCCAAACUAUAAAUUGGGUUAAAUCCGAGCUAAUUUAAGUUAAAUUGAAAUGGGUCUGAACCCAAUUAAGCUGAGUUGGUCUCAGCAGACCUAAUUGAUUGUGAAUCAGGCCCAAUUCAAGCCCAAUUCAACUGACAGAAGGUCGAAUUGACCUUGGGCUAACCCUGACUCAGGCCCAAAUGAGCCACAU